rnacentral:lncRNA from 1 species
GCAGACCCUCCCCUCUCCCCUCCAGCCUGGACACGCCCGCCUCCCCUUGACUCCCCCCAGCUCUGGGCCCCCACCUCCCCUCCCCUCCAGCACAGUCACCCCCAUUUCUCUCCUAUCCGCCAUCCUGGUUCCUCCCUUCCCCCCACCUCCCAACUCUGUGCCCCGCCAACGUUUCCUAAAUGCCCUCUAUUCAGAUCCCCCCUCCGCCUCCCCUCUCCUCUCCUCCAUUCCUGCGUCCCCCUUCCCCCGCCGCGCCGCCUGGGCUGUCCGUGGACUUCUCCCACUCUCUCACUCUCUCACUCACUCUCUCUCUCUCUCUCUCUCUCUCACUCUCUCUCUCUCUCUCCCCCUCAUUUAUUUGGAACCGUUGGAUAAGAAGUGCUCGGGCUCUCGCUCAGACUUAGGGAGCUGCCUCGAGGUGAUGAAUGACACCCCCUGGCACCAGCUACCCUUCUCAGACCCCAGUCCAGCCCGCUCCCGACGUCGACUACGAUUCCGCUACCUCGGCUGGCAGCGAGGUUGGGGUGAGCCCCAGCUGCAGGCGCGUCUGGGCUGCGCCGCUGCAAACGAGUUGCGCACCUUGGGCGGCUCCGCACCUGCACCCGCACCCGCGGGGCUCAGCCCCGAAGGCUGCAGCUUCGGGGGAGGCGCGGUCGCCGAGGUCCAGCUGGUGGGGCGAGAGACGUCGCCCCUCGGAGGAUGCUCUCGGAACUUGGGAGAGGAAGGAGGGAAGAGAAGAGGGGAAAGGGGCCGUCGAUGUUUUUGAUGUCUGUGCUUUAAUGGAGGCCACCAAUAUUGAGAAGACGGGGUUGGCCGAGGCAGCCCGCACGCUGCUGCUUGCGAGCGCUCGAGUCAAAGCUAGGGCCAACCGCGGCUUGUCCGGGUGCCCUAAGGGGGCGGACACUUGGUUUAGCACCGGGACACAGAAUAGCCACCGGGGUAGGAAGAUGCGUUCACUUUGCUUACCUGUUGGCAAGAGGGACAUACAAAAAUAACGUAACGUGACAAACUGUAACCAUACUUAGGGAGGCAGACGUCAAAGGCAAGUACAUCUGUAUUCAACUGGGUAAAGGAAGAGUUUUUCAGCCUGGCGUGGUGGCUCACACCUGUAAUCCCAGCACUUUGGGAGGCCAAGGAAGUCUCUACUGAUUCUAAAUUUCACCUCUGAUCCGAACCCUGGUGGUCUGAUGAUAUUACUUCCUACUUCUGGGACCUCUACCCUACGAAACCCACCUCUCACUGAAACAAGUGGAUAUCUUUGUGGUUGCUGCCACGGGAUUUAAGAGUCCUUUUUUUUUUUUUGAUACGGAGUCUUGCUCUGUCACCCAAGCUGGAGUGCAGUGGUGUGAUCUCAGCUCUCUGCAACCCCCACCUCCUGGGUUCAAGCGAUUCUCCUGCCUCAGCCUCCUGAGUAGCUGGGAUUACAGGCAUUCACCACCAUGCCCAGCUAAUUUCUGUAUUUUCAGUAGAGACGGGGUUUCACUAUGUUGGCCAGGAUGGUCUUGAUCUCCUGACCUUAAGAGAUCCUCCUGCCUCGGCCUCCCAAAGGGCUGAGAUUACAGGCGUGAGCCACCACGCCCAGCCUAAGAGUCCAUUUGAAGCAUUUUUAUUCUAAGAAAAUUUAUUUCCAUAUGUAGUUGGGAUGAAAAGUCUAUGAAAUCCAUUCAAAACAAAGGUGCUUUCAACUAUACUGUUUGAAGUUACAGUUUUGUUUCUUCCCUUAUCCUGUGCUAUCUUAAGCCAUAUGUUGUUGUAAAUUAACAGGAAAGAGGGCAUUUAAAACAAAUGGUUUAUGUGAAUAGCAUUAAUCCCGUCAAGACUAGUUUGUGACAAGGGCUAAAGAUUGCACUCUUGCCUUUUAAGCUCAACCAAGUUAAACAUCUGAACUAUUUCUGCUGUCUUGUAAAUAUUAAGAUGUAACACGUUUCUGAUGUUUGUUGACAUUUGUUGUACUUUUGAUGAACAAUUAGCCUGCAAGAAUAUUAACAGGAAAUUCCAUUCAUGAGAUAAGCAGCUGUUUGUGCAAAGCUUCAGCCAGAUCAUGGGACCAAAAAUCUUCUUUAUGCAACUACUGUUUGUUGAAUAGUCAGCAUUCCUUGCAUGUUCAAAAGGAAAUGCUUUGGAAAUAACUUUUAUGGCUAAUUUUGACUUUUAUAUUUUCGUAAGGAGAAAAUAACUUUCAUGGUUAAUGUUGACUCUUAUACUUGCAGGUAGUAAAAUAAUGUCCUUUAUCACCAUGUAAAUUUCAAACAGUAGUCAUUGACAAAUCCCUAGUAAUUUCCAAAUUGUAAUGCAGAAUCCUAAGGCUGGUGUUAAGAUCCCUGAGUCCACGUCAUAUCAUAAUGCAUGAUUAUUUUAUUGAAAUAAAAACCUACAAUUAU